GUCAACUCAGGACUCCCAAGGUAAGAGUUUUAAGAAAGGAAGGCAAGGAAGACACUUAUUAAUCUUAUUAGUUUUUCUAAAUGAGUCUCAGAUGUCAUACAGUGUCAGUUCCACAGUACUAUAUUCAUUACAAGUGAGUCACUCUCAAGGUCAGUUCACUUUUAAAGAAAAGGGUCUUAGAUUCUCCCUCAUGGGAAGGAAUUGUCAAGUAUUUGUGGACAUCUUUUUCAAGCCCCACAAGCAUGAUAAGCAAUGUGUUCAUUAGACUUCCAAGUACAGAUGACAAGGAGAAGCCCAUAUUUACCAACCUGGAAUUCGGAGUAGAAAUCCAAGCCAGUAAUGCAAAUUUAAGAGCCAAAGAAAAGAUUCAUACACCAAGUCAUAGGACACUCCAAACUUAAAGGCUGGAGAGAUGAGACAGAAGCAGCAAACAAGUUUGGAUCUCAGGUUGGAAUGCAGCUUUCAUUCAUUCUCUGACUCCUCAUUCUGAGUCCCUCUGAGCAACUAUCUUCCAAAGAGCUUUGGGUCCAAGGAAUCGUCUGUCUCAUCCCAACAGCAAUUUACCGUUUCUGGAAAAUUUUAGAAAGGAUGCAGAACUAUUUCCUCAUGCUGCAGACAGGGUAGAACUCUGAAGGAGGCUGAAGGAGGCAAGAAGUGGCUGAAAGGCUCAGUCGCGCCGUUCAGAGGACUUGCAACAAAUUGCCUGAGCAACGUGCUAUUUCUCAGGCUGCAUUUUUGCAUCAAGUAAAGAGGUGAUUUUUCAAGCACAUUUUUUUUUAAUUCUACCAAACUUAGCCUAUGACAAGCCUUGUGAAUGUUUCUCUGGAUCUCAAUUCUCAGAUUUAAAGUAGCAUGAAUUUCUGGGAAAUAAAUGCUCUCUCAUUUUCAGAAUUUCAA